rnacentral:misc_RNA from 1 species
GAUGGGCUUGGAGUUGCUGGCUGGCUUGUUGGAGGAAUUGAAGCAGAAGCAACAAUGCUUGGUCAGCCUAUGAGCUUGGUGUUGCCUGGUGUUGUUGGAUUCAAGUUGUCUGGAAAAUUGCGUGAUGGUGUCACAGCCACUGACUUGGUUUUGACUGUGACCCAAAUGUUGAGGAAGCAUGGUGCUGUUGGCAAGUUUGUUGAGUUUUAUGGUGAUGGAAUGGGUGAAUUGUCAGUGGCUGAUAGGGCCACUAUUGCAAAUAUGUCUCCUGAAUAUGGAGCAACCAUGGGUUUCUUUCCUGUAGAUCAUGCUACCUUGCAGUAUCUCAAAUUAACUGGAAGAAGUGAAGAGACUGUGGCAAUGGUACAAGCAUAUUUGCGUGCAAACAGAAUGUUUGUUGACUACAAUGAGCCUCAACAAGAGAGAGCGUACUCAUCUUACCUGCAAUUGGACCUAGCAGAUGUUGAACCCUGUGUUUCAGGUCCAAAGAGGCCUCAUGAUCGAGUUCCAGUGAAAGAAAUGAAGGCUGAUUGGCAUGCAUGUCUUGAUAGCAAAGUUGGAUUCAAGGGCUUUGGUGUACCUAAAGCGGCAAAAUUUUCAUUCCAUGGACAGCCUGCUGAACUUAAGCACGGCAGUGUUGUCAUUGCGGCUAUUACAAUUUGUACAAACACAUCAAACCCUAGUGUUAUGCUUGGAGCUGGUCUUGUUGCAAAAAAUGCUUGUGAUCUUGGCUUGCGAUCUUGGCUUGCAGGUUAAGCCAUGGAUUAAAACUAGUCUUGCUCCGGGUUCUGGAGUUGUUGCAAAAUAUCUACUCAAGAGUGGCCUGCAACAGUACUUGAAUCAGCAGGGCUUUCACAUUGUUGGUUAUGGUUGUACGACUUGUAUUGGGAAUUCUGGAGAACUUGAUCAAUCUGUUGCUUCUGCAAUUUCAGAUAAUGAAAUUAUUGCUGCAGCUGUGCUUUCUGGAAAUCGGAACUUUGAAGGCCGUGUCCAUCCACUUACAAGAGCUAACUACCUUGCUUCACCUCCAUUAGUGGUUGCCGAUGCACUAGCUGGCACGUUGACAUAGACUUUGAGAUGGAGCCAAUUGGAAGAGGGAAGGAUGGAAAUAAUGUAUACUUCAAGGAUAUUUGGCCUAGUAAUGACGAAAUAACAGAGGUUGUACAAUCUAACGUGUUGCCUGAUAUGUUCUAAAGCACUUAUGAGGCUAUCACAAAGGGCAAUCCCAUGUGGAAUCAGCUAACUGUAUCAGCUAAAACUUCAUACUCAUGGGACCCUAGCUCCACCUAUAUUCAUGAGCCUCCAUACUUCAAGAACAUGACCCUGAAUCCUCCUGGAGCACAUGGAGUGAAGGAUGCUUACUGCUUGCUGAACUUUGGCGAUAGUAUCACAACAGAUCACAUUUCACCAGCAGGAAGUAUCCACAAGGACAGUCCUGCUGCCAAGUACCUCCUUGAGAGAGGGGUGGAUCGCAAGGACUUUAACUCCUAUGGAAGUCGACGUGGAAAUGAUGAAGUGAUGGCUAGGGGAACUUUUGCUAAUAUUCGCCUUGUUAACAAACUUUUGAAUGGGGAAGUAGGACCACAGACGGUACAUAUUCCUACAGGAGAGAAACUCUAUGUAUUUGAUGCAGCAACGAGGUACAAGACUGCUGGACAUGACACCAUUAUUUUGGCUGGAGCUGAGUAUGGAAGUGGAAGCUCCAGAGAUUGGGCUGCCAAGGGUCCAAUGCUAUUGGGUGUGAAAGCAGUGAUAGCAAAGAGCUUUGAGCGAAUUCAUCGCAGUAAUUUGGUGGGCAUGGGUAUUAUUCCGUUAUGUUUUAAGCCCGGUGAGGAUGCUGAGACACUUGGAUUGACUGGUCAUGAACGCUAUAGCAUCGAACUUCCAAGCAGUGUGAGCGAAAUUAGACCUGGUCAAGAUGUCACGGUUGUGACAGACAAUGGCAAGUCAUUCACAUGUACUUUACGUUUUGAUACUGAGGUGGAACUGGCAUAUUUUGAUCAUGGAGGCAUUUUGCAAUAUGUCAUUCGGAACCUGAUUUAUGCAAAACAAUGAAAAAGCAACAGCUCAAUUAUCAAUAAGGUCAGUUUGCAGCUGCGAAGCAAACAGGUAAUAAAAGAUUUGGCAACAAUGCAUGAGAUGUCCUUUUUGUUGCAGAGCCCUAUCAUUUUAUGAAUAAAUAAAGAAGUGAAAAAGGGAUUAUUCGAGGGUUGACAGAUAUUAAUGCCAAAAUCCAGUUCACCAUAGAUAUUUGGCGUUAAACGUUUGAUUUUUGGAUUAAAGAGAAAAACUAUCCAGUGACUCGUAUUGUUUGUUUAGAAAAAGUGUAAUUGAACCGAUGAUUUGGUAGCUUAAAUUUUUAUAAAAUGCUGCUUCAAAGCUGGUUACUAUUGCUGUAUGGUAUUUUCUUAGAAAGAUGGUGUGGAUUUGUCAUCCGAUACGUACUCUUAAACGGCUAUCAAGAUGUUCUUUUGAAUUUCUUGGAUUCCUGGUCUAGUAGCAUCAUUGAUUUCCUGUGUCAUUUUGAAUUCUUAUU